UGGGGAAUAUUGGACAAUGGGGGAAACCCUGAUCCAGCGACGCCGCGUGUGUGAAGAAGGCCUGCGGGUUGUAAAGCUCUUUUGUGCGGGAAGAUAAUGACGGUACCGCAAGAAUAAGCCCCGGCUAACUUCGUGCCAGCAGCCGCGGUAAUACGAAGGGGGCUAGCGUUGCUCGGAAUCACUGGGCGUAAAGGGUGCGUAGGCGGGUUUUUAAGUCAGGGGUGAAAUCCUGGAGCUCAACUCCAGAACUGCCUUUGAUACUGAAGAUCUUGAGUCCGGGAGAGGUGAGUGGAACUGCGAGUGUAGAGGUGAAAUUCGUAGAUAUUCGCAAGAACACCAGUGGCGAAGGCGGCUCACUGGCCCGGUACUGACGCUGAGGCACGAAAGCGUGGGGAGCAAACA
rnacentral:rRNA from 1 species